rnacentral:rRNA from 1 species
GACGAACGCUGGCGGCGUGCUUAACACAUGCAAGUCGAACGGAAAGGCUCCAGCUUGCUAGAGUACUCGAGUGGCGAACGGGUGAGUAACACGAGGGUAUUCUGCCCUGCACUCUGGCAUCAGCCUGGGAAACUGGGUCUAAUACUUGAUAUGACCUUUAUCCGUAUGGGGCUUGGUGGAAAGUUGUUUGGUGUGGGAUGAGCCCGCGGCCUAUCAGCUUGUUGGUGGGGUGAUGGCGUACCAAGGCGACGACGGGUAGCCGGCCUGAGAGGGUGAUCGGCCACAUUGGGACUGGGAUACGGCCCAGACUCCUACGGGAGGCAGCAGUGGGGAAUAUUGCACAAUGGGCGGAAGCCUGAUGCAGCGACGCCGCGGGAGGGAUGACGGCCUUCGGGUUGUAAACCUCUUUCAGCAGGGACGAAGCGUAAGUGACGGUACCUGCAGAAGAAGCACCGGCUAACUACGUGCCAGCCGCCGCAGUAA